AGUCUCCAGGUGGGUAGGACUGGAGAAGCAGGUGCCCAGGAAGAGGGAAAGAACAAAGCCCCAGUUUCUGCGCCAUCAUCCCCACAUAAUGGAAGAGGGGCCUGGAAACAGAGGAGGGGCAGCCAGGCACCAAGAGGAAAAUGCAGCCUCCUUCUGGAAACAAGGGCUCCCUCCCGCAGGCUUUCCCGAGGCCGGGUUCAAAAGGCCCAUGUUCACCUGAGUUUUAGGAUCUGCCAAAACCCAAAAGUCACCAUCUAAAAACAACUCCAAAGAAAGAUACGUAUCAUCCCCAUUUUACAGAUGAAGAAACGGAGACUCGAGAUCACACCGCUGUUAUGUGUGGGGAGACGAUUUUCCACGUGUCUCUCACAUUUCUGUAUAUCUUGUGAGCCAAGAUGCCGACUGCCUUUGCUCUGAUCUUUAUAAAGAUGUUUGCACGGUGAA